GACGAACGCUGGCGGCGUGCCUAAUACAUGCAAGUUGAGCGCUGAAGGUUGGUACUUGUACCAACUGGAUGAGCAGCGAACGGGUGAGUAACGCGUGGGGAAUCUGCCUUUGAGCGGGGGACAACAUUUGGAAACGAAUGCUAAUACCGCAUAAAAACUUUAAACACAAGUUUUAAGUUUGAAAGAUGCAAUUGCAUCACUCAAAGAUGAUCCCGCGUUGUAUUAGCUAGUUGGUGAGGUAAAGGCUCACCAAGGCGAUGAUACAUAGCCGACCUGAGAGGGUGAUCGGCCACAUUGGGGCUGGGACACGGCCCAAACUCCUACGGGAGGCAGCAGUAGGGAAUCUUCGGCAAUGGACGAAAGUCUGACCGAGCAACGCCGCGUGAGUGAAGAAGGUUUUCGGAUCGUAAAACUCUGUUGGUAGAGAAGAACGUUGGUGAGAGUGGAAAGCUCAUCAAGUGACGGUAACUACCCAGAAAGGGACGGCUAACUACGUG
rnacentral:rRNA from 1 species